AUUGAACGCUGGCGGCAGGCCUAACACAUGCAAGUCGAACGGUAACAGGAAGAAGCUUGCUUCUUUGCUGACGAGUGGCGGACGGGUGAGUAAUGUCUGGGAAACUGCCUGAUGGAGGGGGAUAACUACUGGAAACGGUAGCUAAUACCGCAUAACGUCGCAAGACCAAAAAGGGGGCCCUUCGGGCCUCUUGCCAUCGGAUGUGCCCAGAUGGGAUUAGCUAGUAGGUGGGGUAACGGCUCACCUAGGCGACGAUCCCUAGCUGGUCUGAGAGGAUGACCAGCCACACUGGAACUGAGACACGGUCCAGACUCCUACGGGAGGCAGCAGUGGGGAAUAUUGCACAAUGGGCGCAAGCCUGAUGCAGCCAUGCCGCGUGUAUGAAGAAGGCCUUCGGGUUGUAAAGUACUUUCAGCGGGGAGGAAGGGAGUAAAGUUAAUACCUUUUCUCAUUGACGUUACCCGCAGAAGAAGCACCGGCUAACUCCGUG
rnacentral:rRNA from 1 species